rnacentral:rRNA from 1 species
GGCGGCCGAUGUAGCUGUUUCCUGACCGUAAAUGACUCGCGACUUUGAUCUUGUUUCUGGCCGUACGCUGGCGGCAUGCUUAACACAUGCCACGUCGAACGAUGAAGUUAUGACGGAGGCUUCGGCCGACAGAAUAAUGGAAUAGUGGCGGACGGGUGAGUAACGCGUGAGUAACCUGCCUUUCAGAGAGGAAUAACAUUUGGAAACGAAUGGUAAUACCACAUAACAUUACGUUCUCGCAUGGGGAUGUAAUCAAAGAUUUUAUCGCUGAGAGAUGGACUCGCGUCCGAUUAGCUGGAUGGUGAGGUAACGGCCCACCAUGGCGACGAUCGGUAGCCGGACUGAGAGGUUGAACGGCCACAUUGGGACUGAGACACGGCCCAGACUCCUACGGGAGGCAGCAGUGGGGAAUAUUGCACAAUGGGGGAAACCCUGAUGCAGCAACGCCGCGUGAAGGAAGACGGUCUUCGGAUUGUAAACUUUUGUUCUUGGUGAAGAAAAAUGACGGUAGCCAAGGAGGAAGCCACGGCUAACUACGUGCCAGCAGCCGCGGUAAUACGUAGGUGGCAAGCGUUGUCCGGAAUUACUGGGUGUAAAGGGAGCGCAGGCGGGAAAUCAAGUUGGAUGUGAAAUGUCGGGGCUUAACCCCGGAACUGCAUCCAAAACUGAUAUUCUUGAGUGAAGUAGAGGUAGGCGGAAUUCCGAGUGUAGCGGUGAAAUGCGUAGAUAUUCGGAGGAACACCAGUGGCGAAGGCGGCCUACUGGGCUUUAACUGACGCUGAGGCUCGAAAGUGUGGGGAGCAAACAGGAUUAGAUACCCUGGUAGUCCACACUGUAAACGAUGAUUGCUAGGUGGUGGGGGGGGUCUGACCCCCUCCGUGCCGGAGUUAACGCAAUAA